rnacentral:rRNA from 1 species
UACGGAGGGGGCUAGCGUUGUUCGGAAUUACUGGGCGUAAAGCGCGUGUAGGCGGUUCAGUAAGUCUGCUGUGAAAAGUCCAGGGCUCAACCCUGGGAUGCCGGUGGAUACUGCUGGGCUAGAGUACGGAAGAGGCGAGUGGAAUUCCCGGUGUAGCGGUGAAAUGCGCAGAUAUCGGGAGGAACACCAAUUGCGAAGGCAGCUCGCUGGGACGUUACUGACGCUGAGACGCGAAAGCGUGGGG